ensembl:lncRNA
GGGGGAGGGUCUUCAGGAUCACCGACCCAUCAGAGCUGCAGAUCAGGGUCGGCCUUCUCCAAUGGACUUCAUCUUCUGUCAUCUUCUCAUCUCUUCCAAUAUUUGACGGCUACAGGAGGAACAGCAUCGGGGUGUUCACCAAGAACCAGGCCUCCAUGGCCAUUGCCUCAGCCUCCCUGGCCAUCCCCUGCCUCCUCUCCUGCUCCGAGGGCAGCAAUGGCGCCUCCUCCCCCCCCGCGCUCCGCCCGAUGCCGGUGGAGGAGGCGGCCGCCACCAUCCAGACCCACUUCAGGAAGCUCCAGGAGAAGAAGCAGAAGAAGAAGUAGGAGCUGGAGGGCAGGAGAGGAGAGAGGGGGAGGAGAGGAAGG